ACGCAGGCGCCGGACCUUCUUUCUGUGGCCUUUGUGCGACGGGAAGGGUUUUGCGCAUGCGCCGCAACCAUAGAGUUUGGCGAAGCGCUAGAGGGGCUAUCAGUUGCACCUUACCGGGUGGUUUGAGCUUAAGGUUUGCUCGACUAGGACCUACGGGAACUGCAGGUGGAUCUCAAAUCCUGGAUCUUGUUUAGCGCUUCUAGCCCAGAGACUUUUAAAUUGAAAAAACGUCCAAGAUACCUUUCUUUCACUAGAAUAUCAGCCGAUUAACAAAAAUGGCACGAAAAUCUCCUUAACACUGGACAUAAUGUUUUAGGGCUACAAAUAGGCUUCUUAUCACUUUCUUUCCGCUCUUCUGCUCUGGGGUGUCAUUUUUCUCCUGAAAAUUCAUAUUCCGCCAGGUCCUUUAAAAAGCCAGCAUCAUUCCAACUCUCAUCUGAAGCUCCGGCUGCCCUGCCUGCCAGUUUAGCAUCUGUCUCCGACCCUUCUGCUUCCUCAAAGGAGGGGCCAGACAGCGAUGCAAUUGUCUUGCAAUGACACCGCUACUGCAGAAAAUACUUAAUGGACUGAAAGGUGGUAAGGUUGGCUUUCACCUUCUGGAGGCUGAAGAGAUAACUGGGAACAGAAUCAGUGAAGCCAGGGACUAUGGGUACAAGUCUCCAAAGCUGACAUUUUAGACGUGAGUCUGCCUCAGAGAUCGACAGAGAGGUGAGGAGAACAGAAGAGCCAGAGGAUGGGGAGGAACACUGUGAAAUGCUGUCUUUGGGACAAGACAUGUCGAUUGCACUCAUGAACUCUCUGCAGCUGUGCCUCCCUGCACAAACUCAAGUCAGCAUUCCAACAGAUACAGAACAGAAUGGAAUCACAAACGGAGUUCAUCCUGAAGCGACUUCCAGGAAACACAUCUCAUGUCAAGAAUAGACAUCACCCCACGGUAACAAGUUGGAAAAAGAUUUUCCAAGCAAAUGGACUUAAGAAGCAAGCCGGUGCAGCCAUUUUAAUAUCUGACAAAAUAGACUUCAAACCAAAACUAGUCAGAAGAGAUAGAGAAGGACACUACAUACUCAUCAAAUAAAGAUCUGCCAAGAG